CAUGCGAGUCUUUGCAGUAAUGCAAGGCAUACGGCUCAGUAACACGUAGUCAACCUACCCUAUGGACGAGAAUAAUCUCGGGAAACUGAGCAUAAUUCUUGAUAGAUCAUAAUGCCUGGAAUGGUUUAUGGUUAAAAUGAUUCGUCGCCAUAGGAUGGGACUGCGGCCUAUCAGCUUGUUGGUGAGGUAAUGGCCCACCAAGGCGAUUACAGGUACGGGCUCUGAGAGGAGAAGCCCGGAGAUGGGUACUGAGACACGGACCCAGGCCCUAUGGGGCGCAGCAGGCGAGAAAACUUUGCAAUGUGCGAAAGCACGACAAGGUUAAUCCGAGUGAUUUCUGCUAAAGAAAUCUUUUGCCAGUCAUAAAACCACUGGUGAAUAAGGGGUGGGCAAGUUCUGGUGUCAGCCGCCGCGGCAAAACCAGCACCUCAAGUGGUCAGGAUGAUUAUUGGGCCUAAAGCAUCCGUAGCCGGCUUUGUAAGUUUUCGGUUAAAUCCAUGUGCUCAACGCAUGGGCUGCCGAAAAUACUGCAUAGCUAGGGAGUGGGAGAGGUAGACGGUACUCAGUAGGAAGGGGUAAAAUCCUUUGAUCUAUUGAUGACCACCUGUGGCGAAGGCGGUCUACCAGAACACGUUCGACGGUGAGGGAUGAAAGCUGGGGGAGCAAACCGGAUUAGAUACCCGGGUAGUCCCAGCUGUAAACGAUGCAGACUCGAUGAUGCAUUGGCAUAUAGCCAGUGCAGUGUCGCAGGGAAGCCGUUAAGUCUGCCGCCUGGGAAGUACGUACGCAAGUAUGAAACUUAAAGGAUUGGCGGGGAGCACCACAAGGGUGAAGCUGCGGU
rnacentral:rRNA from 1 species